AAUGCAACGCUGUAUUUACACAAAAUUUUUAGUAUUAUUAAAAUUUUAUUUAAGAAGGCAACACCGUCAGUUAUUCAUCAUUGCGUUGGAAAUUCUUCGGCAGCAUUAUUUUCAUUUCUUUUGAUUUACUUUGUGUUUAUUUUAGUAUUUGUAGAGCAAUAAGAACGCAAGUAAAAUCUUGUGUGUAAGAAAUACACUUAUAAAAAAUAUUAAAAAGCCGUGACUUAAUUUGCAAGUUAACAUAUCGCAUAUAAAAAUGGAUAACCGAAAUGAUGUGCCAACCGCGUCGGGAUCAAAUGAUAUUCCUGUUCUACCCCCACCUCCUAAUUCAUCGUAUCCCAGCAAUAACAACCAACAAAGCAAUGCCCAGAAGCGCUUACAGCAGACUCAGGCCAAAGUCGAUGAAGUCGUUGGUAUUAUGAAGGUGAACGUUGAAAAGGUCUUGGAACGUGAUCAAAAACUGUCGGAGUUGGGUGAACGCGCCGAUGCGCUCGAACAAGGAGCUUCACAGUUCGAGCAACAGGCUGGAAAAUUAAAACGCAAACAAUGGUGGGCCAACAUGAAAAUGAUGAUAAUAAUGGGAGUCAUUGGCGUUGUACUGUUAAUAAUUAUUAUCGUGCUACUCUUUAACUAAUUUAAUACAUAUUUUAUCGGAAAAAUAAAUGUAAGAUAUUUAGACUCUUUAUACCAAUUCCAAAAUUCUUUAAAUUGUGCAUCCUAAAAAAGAAAUAAUUGAUUGGCAGGAAAUUAGGUUUGGCAAAGUUGAGUUUCGAUAUUAACGUAGUCAGAGUCAGUCAAUCCAUAAUGUCGGUAAUGCCUUCCGGUGGAGGAAGCAGUUCUAAUCAAGUUAAGGAAGCUGUGACACAAGCACCACAAAAUUAGGCUGACUAACAUCUGA